CGGACACAUACGUAGACAUGAAAGCCUGAAACCGGAAAUAAACACAGCUGGCUGUAGGCUACAGUAAAUUAACAUAAAAUAUGAAAUAUCAUGCUGCUUUUUAUUACCUUUAGGUCGCAAUACCAGAAUAUCUCUGCCCGAGACUAGCAAAUUAAAUUAAUGACUGACUAUAGCCAAGUUAUUAGAAGUUUGUGGACACAACCUCCAGCCUGAAGUUUUGAUGUUUUAGAAAGUUGAUUCUAUCAGGAUGCAUCAGGAGGAUGAAGAUUACACCAAUCCACCAGAGGAGUUUAUAGGACUGUCUGAUUUCACGAGCUGCGGCAGCGACCAGCUGAGUUUCAGAGCUGGAGACAGGUUACUGGUCCACACCAAGACGUCAGCUGACUGGUGGUGGGCGGAGUUGGGAGGCCUCUGUGGCUACGUUCCAUCUAGUUACCUGAAACAAGAUGUGGAGGACAGUUACCUAAAUCAAGGUGUGAAGGAGGACACCUCAGAGGACACCUCGGAGGACCCCUGGCAGGAUGAAGAAUACUUUGGCAGCUAUGGAACACUGAGGCUUCAACUGGAGAUGCUGAGUGACCGAGCGAGGACGGAGGCGUACCGCCAGGUGAUUCUGACCAACAGCGCCCCCCUCAAGGGGAAGGUGGUUAUGGACCUGGGCUGUGGCACCGGCGUCAUCAGCCUCUUCUGUGCCCGCCUGGCCCAGCCCAAAGCUGUGUAUGCGGUGGAGGCCAGCUCCAUAGCAGAACACACUGAGACCCUGGUGAGGCAGAACGGCUGUGAGGAGGUUGUGACAGUCUUCCAGGGUCGGGCUGAGGAGCUGGAGCUACCAGGCACAGUAGACAUCCUGAUCUCAGAGUGGAUGGGCAACUGUCUGCUGUUUGAGUUCAUGGUGGAGUCAGUGUUGCAGGCGCGGGACCGCUGGCUGAGAGAGGGGGGGAUGAUGUGGCCCUCUGGGGCCUCUCUCUGCCUGGUCCCCUGUCAGGCCCUGGACUACUACACAGAGAGGAUGGUCUUCUGGGAGCAGCCCUAUGGACUGGACUUUACUGCCCUCCAAUCCCUGGCCCAGUCAGAGUUCUUCUCCAGGCCCAGGUUCAGCCACCUCCUCAAGCCUGAAGACUGCCUGGCCACCCCCUGUGAUGUCAUCACUCUGGACAUGCUCACACUGCAUGUUACAGAUCUAGAGAAGCUGAGGGGCCAGUUUACCUUCAUCGUGGAAAAGGCCGGGACGUUCCACGGGUUCACUUCCUGGUUCAGAGUUCAGUUCCAGAGCCUGGAGAGAGACAAAACCACAUUGGAGUUACUCUGAGCCAACCCACUGGAAGCAGACUCUGUUCAUGCUGGACGGGCCGAUCUUGCUGCUCGGUGGAGAGACGGUGUCUGGAAUCAUCCUUCUACACCGGAACCCCGUCUGGAGACGUCACAUGACUGUUACCAUCCAAUGGAGCAUCAGCAGCACAGAGGAAACAGGAAACUGCAUGGUCCAGACAAAGAGUUUCCCUAUGUGGAGAUGACAUCACAGGCUAGCAUUGAAGGAUGUAGCAGCCAGACCUCUCUGAUAUUAGCCUAGUUCCAGAUCCAUUUGUGGCUUUGCCUACUCCAUUGUCAUUGUCAAGCCAAACAUGACAAUUCCAUAAGGAGUGUUGUGGAAAUUACCACCAGGGACUCCAAGUCAAACUUAAAUUAAUCAUACUUUAUUAUCAGCAAGCUGGAGAGGUUCCAACAAACGUAAUGCACCAAGAAGUACACGUCUGUCAGGAGCUCUGUCAGAGAAGUCCUGUUAGUUCUCUUACAUACUGCUUUUGCAGACAAGUUAUAUUUGCAUGAUUUCCAUAAUUAAAUAUUUGAAUUCA